AUUUUAAUUUCCUAAAGAAGCUAUGUAUGUCUAACACUACGGAGGAGCUUAUAUAAUGUAGUUGCAUCCAGUUUGUUAAUAAUCUGAUUCUGGAUCAAUUUAAACGUAAAAACGUUGACUGACAAACUAUCCGCCAUGGCUGCAAAACGUUCUCACUUUUAUUUGAGUUUCAGUAAUGGAUGCACUUUCGCUUUCUUUGCAUGGUUGACACUUUAAGGAAGGCGUGAUGUGCUGUCCCACAGACAGGCUCGUCCUGUCUAAAGCCAACUACACUAUCAAAACAUCCACUUGUAGAAAUCCCCAGUUGUUCCUGUAAGCCCGCAAGAGUGGACCAGUGAAGUCAUUUGACGAAGCCUUCGGGGUGAGGAAGCUUAUACAGAAGCAAUGGCAGGCAAGUGUUUUCUUGUACAAUUGCAUAAAAAUGUAUUUAUCCGCAAGUGCAACCUGUGUCACGCAUUUCUGGGUGAUCUGCGGUAGACCUGAGCAGGCCAUGCUGUUACUUAAAGAAUACUCUGGUCUCUCAAUUAAGGAGUGAUACAAUUUCAAAUUCAGUCGUUUCUUGUCAGAACUGCUUCAUGUUUUGAGCAAUAUUGAUCUAUUGAUUUGUGUGUACUUGAGCCGGAAGUUAAGUGCCAGCAGCAACUGUCACCUUCAUUUUCACUUUUGGAUUGGGUAUCAAAGCAAUAUGAGAGAAUAAUGAUGAAAACAAGAUUAAUAUUGCAUUUAUAAUAGUGAUGUUAUUUAAUACCUACAAUCUGAUCAAUGGGACAACCUGCAUUUGAUGCAUGCCUCCCAUGCCUUCUUUACAUUAGUCUUUCUCUUAUUUAUUUCCUCCUUAUUGUAUUUAGCCUUAAACAUAAAGUAAGUUUUUUAUUCCGAAUGACUCCCUAAAUCUAAGUUCCAAUUCCAGUCCUGUUUUUUUAUAAUACAUUUUUUAUAUGUGAAAUCAUUAUGAAUAAUGGAAGACAAAGAUGAGAAAACAAAGAUCUCCUCGCAGUGUAGGCUUAAGCUUAUGGAGUAAUUUCAUGCAAUUUAAUAUGUUUGCUGUGUUUAUUUUGUACAUUUGUGCAUUUUGUUCUUAGUAGUUUGUGCGUCAGCUCGUAGCAACAGUUGAGGCUACUCGGUCUGCGUUAAUGGUUGAGGCACAGUAUUGUGCUGAAAUGCCUUAAAAAAAAACAAAAAACAAGAGGGAUGUGUUCCUCCAGUCUCCCGAAGACAAACCGUUACUACUGUUAACAUGCUACCUCGUAAAGUGUAGAAACCGUGGAAGAAUGAUACCAGUUCAUAGGUUUGCUCUUUAGCCCCAUCCGCAGGACGCCCAGUGACAAUUACUGUGGGCGCUGUAUGGAGGUUUCAACUGGAACCUCCGUCACCCAGACCCCCGAGACUAUCAGGUGAGUAUAAAUAAUAAUAUAUACUAAGUUGCCAGUUUAGUAUGUACACCCACCAAAACGAAUGCAGUCUAAUAUAACGGUCCUGAAAUAAAUCCCACGUUCACUCUCAGCUGUAUGGCCAUUUUGGAGGCCGAGGUUUGUGGUGAUAUUGAAUUGUAUUGUGUCACACUGAGAGGUGUUUCUAAUAUUUAUCUACCCUUGAGUGAUAAAAUUUGGGUGGACAAAGUAUUAGAGAUCCCUCUCAACGCAAUACAAUUGACCAGGAACAAACUUCGGCCUCUAGAAAAUGACCAUUAAAUCACCACUUCAAGCAGUUUAAACGAACCUGAAUAUUAUAACCUUCGCGACGGUAGGAUUUAUUGCAGGGCCAUUGUAUUACUCUCCAGCUGUUUCAGCCAGGUGGAGCUAAUAACCUGCCAACUGAGUAAAUAAAUAAAAAUUACAGAUGAGAUAUGCCAUAAAAAAACCAUGUUCUCAGAGCAGUUUAUGUUACAUUAUUAGAAAGGUUCUUGCAUAGUAGUCUAUAAACAGGGAUGGCACAGUGGCGUAACUACAAAGGUUGAGUUCUUGACCUUGGAAACAGCAGUUUGACAAAAAUUAUUCUCAACAAAAGGUUCAAUUUUAAUCUUCAGUUUCUAAAAUAAGUACAUUUCUGUGACCUUAAGCGCGUCAUAGUUUGUAUGUCAGUAUGUGCACGGCACAAAAUAUGCAAUUAAGAUCACAUUACAAAUUUGAAUCUGACAUUUUUAAAAAUCUUACCCCCUCUAGUUGCAGUCACAGUAGGAUGGGUUUUCCUAACCCUGGCCCGAAUCAUCUUCGGGGUCGUGUAUUUCAAGGACUGCCCUCAGCAGCCCAACAUACCCAACUACCUGUUGGGGCUGGCUCUGAUACCUCUGUUGAUGAUACCAUUUGUGACCCUGCCCUGUGAGAUGGGCGCAGCUCGGCCACAGGAGCAGCCCAGGGGUUUCAGAGCCUGUGUGCCUUGUUUAAUCAGCCUGUUGAACUCUGCGUGGAUCCUGGCAGGUGAUGUGUGGGUCUUUUCAAUUUACCAGCCCAACUACGAUCCCACAGCAGCGGAUGGCCUCUACUGUAGCAUGACCCUGUACACAUUUGCCUUCUGGAAUGCGGUGUGGGAGACCUCGGUGAUUUGGGUCGUCCUGGCCAGAAUCUGCAAAGGGCUGCUGUGUUACAUGAUAGCGAGUCCCGCACCAACAAACCGAGACUUUAAUGGGCAUGUGUGAGGCAAGGAUGGAGCACAGCCGUAUGCUUAUUGACGUGUAUGAUUAUCUGUGAGGAGGAAAAUGUUAAAAUAUAUAUAUAAUAUAUAUAUAUUCCUUUAUGCACUUUAAUUGUGGAGCUGAUGGUUACUUUACAGUUUUAUUUUUUUUAAUGUAUUUCUAUCGUAAUGUGUUGUGUGGGAAUAUUAUCGUAUAUAGUAAUAUAUAGAUGUUGAUCCAGAGAAUCUGUUUGACUUGUAGUUUCUUUCGAAAUUUGAAGUUAAAGGGUACAACUGUCAUAAGUUCACACCUUCCUUAUUGUCAAUAAAUCCUAUUAAAAAGUCCAAAACGAGAAUUUGUUAGUCUCCGUUUCUCAGUACUAGCCAGCUUCCCUACCAGCCCCAAGCCAUUCCUGAAAACGUAACAACAGCUGGGCACUGCAGUUUUUAAGCGGACGCUACUGAAACGGGAACGAGGAAUGCAACUGCGGGGUCUGUUUUCAGCUGCGGAUUCACACACAUUUGGUGCUCUAAUGACGUGUGUGUGUGUGUGUGUGUGUGUGUGUGGGAUCAGCUCAAAAACAUGUUCCCCAGUUGCAAGGACUGUGGCUGACCCGUGUGUUUUUAAAGGUUCUGGACAACAAUGGCCGUCUGUGGAGAAACAGAAAAAUAACCUGCAUGAGGCUUUGGAUACACAGGCGAUGCUUGUUAGUCCGAUCAGUUUCCCUCUUUUCAUAACAUUUGUUGACAAUGAGGAAAAAUAUGGAAUAUCACCAUUCUUCUUCCUUUUUUCCCACUUUUUCAAAAUAUUUUGAUUAAUUUCUCAUUUCAUGCAGGUCUUGACUGUUUACUGUUGAGUUUAG